rnacentral:rRNA from 1 species
UCUAGUAAUGAUGGCAAAGAGGUCACACCUGUUCCCAUGUCGAACACAGAAGUUAAGCUCUUUAGCGCCAAU